AGUUAAAUUUUUCAUUUCUUUUUACCGUUAAAAACUAGCCCUGCUGAUAGAAAACUGGAUAGUUUCACAUGACGUGUCACGUAUAACCUCAUGCUGAUGUACAAUGACUAAUUUUUAAUAGUAGAAAUAGAUGAAAUUUUCAACA
rnacentral:pre_miRNA from 1 species